CCUACGGGAGGCAGCAGUGGGGAAUAUUGCACAAUGGGGGAAACCCUGAUGCAGCCACGCCGCGUGAGUGAAGACGUAAUUCGUUAUGUAAAGCUCUAUCAGCAGGGAAGAAAAUGACGGUACCUGAGUAAUAAGCCACGUCUCAUGACGUGACAGGAGCGGCGGUAACACGUAGGGGGCAAGCGUUAUCCGGAUUUACUGGGGGUAAAGGGAGCGUAGGUGGCAGUGAAAGUUUGGAGUGAAAGGCGGGGGCUCAACCCCCGGACUGCAGUGGAAACUGGACGGCUGGAGUGCAGGAGAGGUAAGUGGAAUGCCUGGUGUAGCGGUGAAAUGCGUAGAUAUUAGGAAGAACACCAGUUGCGAAGGCGGCAUACUGGACUGUAACUGACGUUGAGGCUCGAAAGCGUGGGGAGCGAACAGGAUUAGAUACCCCUGUAGUC
rnacentral:rRNA from 1 species